GGCGAUAUAGCUCAAUUGGUCUAGAGCAGUGCUUUCAUACGGCAAAGGUUGGUAGUUCAAAUCUAUCUAUCGCCACCA
rnacentral:tRNA from 1 species